rnacentral:rRNA from 1 species
GAUUAGCUAGUUGGUGAGGUAAUGGCUCACCAAGGCGACGAUCCUUAGCUGGUUUGAGAGAACGACCAGCCACACUGGGACUGAGACACGGCCCAGACUCCUACGGGAGGCAGCAGUGGGGAAUAUUGGACAAUGGGCGAAAGCCUGAUCCAGCCAUGCCGCGUGAGUGAUGAAGGCCUUAGGGUUGUAAAGCUCUUUUGCCGGGGACGAUAAUGACGGUACCCGGAGAAUAAGUCCCGGCUAACUUCGUGCCAGCAGCCGCGGUAAUACGAAGGGGACUAGCGUUGUUCGGAAUCACUGGGCGUAAAGCGCACGUAGGCGGAUUUAUAAGUCAGGGGUGAAAUCCCGGGGCUCAACCUCGGAACUGCCUUUGAUACUGUGAAUCUUGAGUCCGAUAGAGGUGGGUGGAAUUCCUAGUGUAGAGGUGAAAUUCGUAGAUAUUAGGAAGAACACCGGUGGCGAAGGCGGCCCACUGGAUCG